GAGUUUGAUCAUGGCUCAGAUUGAACGCUGGCGGCAGGCCUAACACAUGCAAGUCGAGCGGUAGAGAGAAGCUUGCUUCUCUUGAGAGCGGCGGACGGGUGAGUAAUGCCUAGGAAUCUGCCUGGUAGUGGGGGAUAACGCUCGGAAACGGACGCUAAUACCGCAUACGUCCUACGGGAGAAAGCAGGGGACCUUCGGGCCUUGCGCUAUCAGAUGAGCCUAGGUCGGAUUAGCUAGUUGGUGAGGUAGUGGCUCACCAAGGCGACGAUCCGUAACUGGUCUGAGAGGAUGAUCAGUCACACUGGAACUGAGACACGGUCCAGACUCCUACGGGAGGCAGCAGUGGGGAAUAUUGGACAAUGGGCGAAAGCCUGAUCCAGCCAUGCCGCGUGUGUGAAGAAGGUCUUCGGAUUGUAAAGCACUUUAAGUUGGGAGGAAGGGCAGUAAAUUAAUACUUUGCUGUUUUGACGUUACCGACAGAAUAAGCACCGGCUAACUCUGUGCCAG
rnacentral:rRNA from 1 species